UACGAAGGGGGCUAGCGUUGCUCGGAAUUACUGGGCGUAAAGCGUGCGUAGGCGGUUCGUUAAGUUCGUUGUGAAAGCCCCGGGCUCAACCUGGGAAUGGCAAUGGAAACUGGCGGGCUGGAGUAUGGCAGAGGGGGGUGGAAUUCCGCGUGUAGCAGUGAAAUGCGUAGAGAUGCGGAGGAACACCGAUGGCGAAGGCAGCCCCCUGGGCCAAUACUGACGCUCAGGCACGAAAGCGUGGGGAGCAAACAGG
rnacentral:rRNA from 1 species